UACGGAGGAUCCGAGCGUUAUCCGGAUUUAUUGGGUUUAAAGGGAGCGUAGGUGGAUUGUUAAGUCAGUUGUGAAAGUUUGCGGCUCAACCGUAAAAUUGCAGUUGAAACUGGCAGUCUUGAGUACAGUAGAGGUGGGCGGAAUUCGUGGUGUAGCGGUGAAAUGCUUAGAUAUCACGAAGAACUCCGGUUGCGAAGGCAGCUCACUAGACUGCAACUGACACUGAUGCUCGAAAGUGUGGGUAUCAAACAGG
rnacentral:rRNA from 1 species